CGUACACUCCUGCGGGAGGCAGCAGUGGGGAAUAUUGCACAAUGGGCGCAAGCCUGAUGCAGCCAUGCCGCGUGUAUGAAGAAGGCCUUCGGGUUGUAAAGUACUUUCAGCGGGGAGGAAGGCGAUAAGGUUAAUAACCUUGUCGAUUGACGUUACCCGCAGAAGAAGCACCGGCUAACUCCGUGCCAGCAGCCGCGGUAAUACGGAGGGUGCAAGCGUUAAUCGGAAUUACUGGGCGUAAAGCGCACGCAGGCGGUCUGUCAAGUCGGAUGUGAAAUCCCCGGGCUCAACCUGGGAACUGCAUUCGAAACUGGCAGGCUAGAGUCUUGUAGAGGGGGGUAGAAUUCCAGGUGUAGCGGUGAAAUGCGUAGAGAUCUGGAGGAAUACCGGUGGCGAAGGCGGCCCCCUGGACAAAGACUGACGCUCAGGUGCGAAAGCGUGGGGAGCAAACAGGAUUAGAAACCCCAGUAGUCCCAUG
rnacentral:rRNA from 1 species